UGUCAGGCGGAGCUUCAGAGUCCG
rnacentral:misc_RNA from 1 species